GCCAGUAGCGGUUUUAGGCACGGGCGAACCGGGCAGCCGCCCGGGGCGUCAUUUUUUCGUGACACAUUGGGGGCGGCAGCACGAGGAGAUAAACAAAAAAUCCUCUGUGUCGCGAAUCGGUUUUUCGUCAUUAAUAUAAUUUCACUGUGUGUGGAAUUGGCAAAUUGGCGCUCCCUGCAGCUGCCGGCGCCCCUGCUUGCUGAAAAUAUCCACUGAAGCUUUGUGUUGUGAGAGAAGUGUAAGGGGGUGGGGCGAGAGGCGCGUGCGACAUUUCACCUCUGGGUCUCUCUCAAAUGGAACGGGCAGGGCGGGGGUGGACGGGGACGGGGGAUCCACACUAGUAAUAUAAUUAAUAAUAGGCUAAAGUCAGUCACACACCUCGACUUUCUUCCAAAUAACACACAUUUCAUUCAUAAUGUUAUAAUACAGGCCUAUAGUUCCUGCAAAUGAAACUAGGUAAUACAAAACGAUUAUGCGGUCAUCAAGGUGAAUUGGUUUAGUCUUGACUUCUGGUCCUGAGUGACAGUUGGGGGGAUGGGAAAUCUGUUGAUUGUCGAGUGCCAAAUAAACAGAGAUGGAGAAGAAAAGGUCAAAGCCAGGUGCCCAAUUUCGAAAAAAAAGAAGAGGAGAAACGAGCAAAAGAUAAAGGGGCACUUCUAAAAUAUUUUGGAGCAUCCUCUGCCACUGGUCAGGAUGAGCCAACCACCUCCUCCGCUACACAUAUGUCUCCACAAAUAUCUGAUAUUGAGGAUGAAGACCUCUUUGCCUCUACUUCUACCCAGCAUGAGCUUUCAGAAAUGCCUGGAGCUGAACCCCCACUGAGCCCCACUGGCUCACAUCUGACUGACAGGAUUCGGACUGAGCUGGUUCACAGAGGACCAAGUAAAGUGCCACCUGGCUUUGUUUUCCAUAGGAAUGAGAGUAAUGGGAGAAGUUGCCACCACUAAUAUUUUAAUAAGACAUUAGUAAGUGGUGAAAAGAUGGCAAGAAGUUGGCUGAUUUCUUCAAUUAAGAACAACAGCCUCUUUUGCUUCUGCUGCAAAUUGUUUUCCAAGAGGAACAUCAAUUUAACAAGUGCAGGAAUGGCAAAUUGGAAACAUGCAUGCAAUGAUCUCACAUCAUAUGAAAACAGUUGUUAUAAUAAAAUAUUGCUGUUUGUGCAGAACUUUGUUUGCUUUUUUUUU